CCAAGGAGUCUAACAUGUGCGCGAGUCAUUGGGUGCCAAACCUAAAGGCGAAAUGAAAGUGAAAGCUGACUUGAUCAGCCGAUAUGGGAUCCGUUCGGUCACGGCCGGACCGCGCACCAUAGCCCCAUCUCGACCGCUUGCGGUAGGGUGGCGGCAGAGCGUACACGUUGGGACCCGAAAGAUGGUGAACUAUGCCUGAGCAGGACGAAGCCAGAGGAAACUCUGGUGGAGGUCCGAAGCGGUUCUGACGUGCAAAUCGAUCGUCAGACUUGGGUAUAGGGGCGAAAGACUAAUCGAACCAUCUAGUAGCUGGUUCCCUCUGAAGUUUCCCCCAGGAUAGCUGGAGCUCGGAAGAGCAGUUGUAUCCGGUAAAGCGAAUGAUUAGAGGCCUUGGGGACGAAACGACCUCAACCUAUUCUCAAACUUUCAAUGGGUACGAAGUCCCGGUUGCUUGACUCUGAACCGUGGACUGUGAAUGUGAGCUCCAAGUGGGCCAUUUUU
rnacentral:rRNA from 1 species